GAUGAACGCUGGCGGCGUGCUUAACACAUGCAAGUCGAACGGGAAACCUAUUAUUGAAACUUCGGUCGAUUUAAUUUGUUUCUAGUGGCGGACGGGUGAGUAACGCGUGGGUAACCUGCCCUAUACAGGGGGAUAACAACCAGAAAUGGUUGCUAAUACCGCAUAAGCGCACGGGACCGCAUGGUCCAGUGUGACAAACUCCGGUGGUAUAGGAUGGACCCGCGUUGGAUUGGCUAGUUGGUGGGGUAACGGCCCACCAAGGCAACGAUCCAUAGCCGGCCUGAGAGGGUGAACGGCCACAUUGGGACUGAGACACGGCCCAGACUCCUACGGGAGGCAGCAGUGGGGAAUAUUGCACAAUGGGGGAAACCCUGAUGCAGCGACGCCGCGUGAAGGAAGAAGUAUCUCGGUAUGUAAACUUCUAUCAGCAGGGAAGAUAGUGACGGUACCUGACUAAGAAGCCCCGGCUAACUACGUGCCAGCAGCCGCCGUAAUAC
rnacentral:rRNA from 1 species